AUGAUGAUUGUAGGAGAGACUAAACGACGCGUUUAGCACCGAAGGAGCAAGUCCCAUAAAACCCUUGGGAUUAAUCUCUCAGGUACCAGAUACUACAAUCGGACG
rnacentral:ncRNA from 1 species